rnacentral:rRNA from 1 species
UCUACGGGACGCAGCAGUGAGGAAUAUUGGACAAUGGAUGGAAAUCUGAUCCAGCCAUGCCGCGUGCAGGAAGAAUGUCCUAUGGAUUGUAAACUGCUUUUGUAUGGGAGCAAUAAGGUCUUCGUGAAGGCCGAUGAGAGUACCAUACGAAUAAGCACCGGCUAACUCCGUGCCAGCAGCCGCGGUAAUACGGAGGGUGCAAGCGUUAUCCGGAUUUAUUGGGUUUAAAGGGUGCGUAGGCGGUUAUAUAAGUCAGCGGUGAAAUUUUUCGGCUCAACCGGAAACAUGCCGUUGAUACUGUAUAGCUUGAAUACGGUUGCUGUGAGUGGAAUGUGUAGUGUAGCGGUGAAAUGCUUAGAUAUUACACAGAAUAUCGAUUGCGAAGGCAACUCACAAAGCCAUUAUUGACGCUGAGGCACGAAAGUGUGGGGAUCAAACAGGAUUAGAUACCCUGGUAGUCCACACUGUAAACGAUGAUAACUAGCUGUCGGCGAUAGACCGUCGGUGGCCAAGCGAAAGCGAUAAGUUAUCCACCUGGGGAGUACGACCGCAAGGUUGAAACUCAAAGGAAUUGACGGA